GACGAACGCUGGCGGCGUGCCUAAUACAUGCAAGUUGAGCGCUGAAGGUUGGUACUUGUACCAACUGGAUGAGCAGCGAACGGGUGAGUAACGCGUGGGGAAUCUGCCUUUGAGCGGGGGACAACAUUUGGAAACGAAUGCUAAUACCGCAUAAAAACUUUAAACACAAGUUUUAAGUUUGAAAGAUGCAAUUGCAUCACUCAAAGAUGAUCCCGCGUUGUAUUAGCUAGUUGGUGAGGUAAAGGCUCACCAAGGCGAUGAUACAUAGCCGACCUGAGAGGGUGAUCGGCCACAUUGGGACUGAGACACGGCCCAAACUCAUACGGGAGGCAGCAGUAGGGAAUCUUCGGCAAUGGACGAAAGGCUGACCGAGCAACGCCGCGUGAGUGAAGAAGGUUGUCGGAUCGUAAAACUCGGUUGGUAGAGAAGAACGUUGGUGAGAGUGGAAAGCUCAUCAAGUGACGGUAACUACCCAGAAAGGGACGGCUAACUACGUG
rnacentral:rRNA from 1 species